rnacentral:rRNA from 1 species
UACGUAGGGUGCAAGCGUUAAUCGGAAUUACUGGGCGUAAAGCGUGCGCAGGCGGUUAUGCAAGACAGAUGUGAAAUCCCCGGGCUCAACCUGGGAACUGCAUUUGUGACUGCAUGGCUGGAGUGCGGCAGAGGGGGGUGGAAUUCCACGUGUAGCAGUGAAAUGCGUAGAGAUGUGGAGGAACACCGAUGGCGAAGGCAGCCCCCUGGGUUAACACUGACGCUCAGGCACGAAAGCGUGGGGAGCAAACAGG